AGGUUCUUUAUAACCGUUACAUUUGUUCUUGUCAUAAUAUCAAAUAUUAUCAUUACAAACCUAUACUAUUACAUAAGUAAUCUACAAGUUCGCUUUAGCCUUCCCUUUUUCCUUGACGAAUCCUUCGGUCCAUUCGGUCGAAGCUGCAUUCAUAUUGUUCAAGCAAGAGUGAGCAUAACAAGCUCAACAAGUACAACAAUUUCAUUUAAAAAGCAUGCUUGAAACAUAGG
rnacentral:lncRNA from 1 species